UACGUAGGGUGCGAGCGUUACUCGGAAUUACUGGGCGUAAAGCGUGCGCAGGCGGUUUUGUAAGCCAGAUGUGAAAUCCCCGGGCUUAACCUGGGAAUGGCAUUUGGGACUGCAAGGCUCGAGUGCGGCAGAGGAGACUGGAAUUCCUGGUGUAGCAGUGAAAUGCGUAGAUAUCAGGAGGAACACCGAUGGCGAAGGCAGGUCUCUGGGACGGUACUGACGCUGAGACGCGAAAGCGUGGGGAGCGAACAGG
rnacentral:rRNA from 1 species